AGUGGUGCUGAAAAGAAUGCAGACGUAAAAGUGAACAACUGGUAGGCUCUUCUGUGGGACUCUGUGUACAGCUCAAGUUAAUUCUCCGUUGGAAGAGUGGCGAGGUUUUAACAAGUAAGGAAGUCAGCCGCUGGGAGCAGAAUCUCACCUCUGCAAAGCCUCGCGAGAGCUCACUUGCCUGACAAACCGAGGAAGGAAACCCUGUUUUCACACACAAGGCAGGGAUACACGCCAUAUUGCCAAACAGAAGUCACCAGCGCCGCAGCCUUCUGAAUGAAGAAAAGUGAAGUUCCUCAAGACACAAGGCUCCUUCCUCCUUCAGAGAGGAGGAAGUGCAGCCCGGAAACCAUAGCAACCUCUGCAAAAUGGUUCCUGUAAUGACACUCGCUCAAAAUGGCCAGGCUUCCAGGUUGCUAAGACUUGCUCAUAUGCUAAUGUGUUGGAAAAUGUCUGGAAUCUCGGGAAUAUGGCGAUCUCUUUCUGGUGCAGCAGUCGCCACAGGCAGUUUCUACAGAACAAAACCUACAGCAGGCACAGUGCCCUGACCAGAGAAAAUAAAAACAAACCGGGAGUCAGCAGAACACAGGACUUUUUCCAAGGGCUUGACUUGUAGUGUCAUGGUAAAUGUCUCAUUCAACACCAUCAUCAGUUUUACUGCUUUUAACAAAAUUGGUAAAAUCUCCAGGAUAUUCCUCCAAGGUGGAUUUGUAAAUUGUGAAGGCUUUUUCCGAAAAUCAAAUAUAUCACGAGGCAAGAACUGAUGUAGCCAGGUCUGUGACUAAUCAUUUCUCUCGGGGUAGUCAGUAUUUCCGGGGAUUGGGUGGAGAAAGUAAUCCGUUAAUAUUCCUUGAUUGGUAGAUUAUGAGUCAAAGUUAUAAUAGACAUGAUUUUGCUUAUAUAACUACAGUUUGUACAAUCUGUACUAUUAAAGGAGAAAAGUCUUGGAAAAAAUAAAAAAUACCACCACUG
rnacentral:lncRNA from 1 species